rnacentral:rRNA from 1 species
GACGUAGGAGGCGAGCGUUGUCCGGAUUCAUUGGGCGUAAAGAGCGCGCAGGCGGCUUGGUAAGUCGGAUGUGAAAUCCCGAGGCUCAACCUCGGGUCUGCAUCCGAUACUGCCCGGCUAGAGGUAGGUAGGGGAGAUCGGAAUUCCUGGUGUAGCGGUGAAAUGCGCAGAUAUCAGGAGGAACACCGGUGGCGAAGGCGGAUCUCUGGGCCUUACCUGACGCUCAGGCGCGAAAGCUAAGGGAGCGAACUGG